UACGGAGGGUGCAAGCGUUAAUCGGAAUUACUGGGCGUAAAGCGUGCGCAGGCGGUUUGUUAAGUCUGCUGUGAAAUCCCCGAGCUCAACUUGGGAAUUGCAGUGGAUACUGGCAAGCUGGAGUACGGUAGAGGAAGGUGGAAUUCCCGGUGUAGCAGUGAAAUACGUAGAGAUCGGGAGGAACACCAGUGGCGAAGGCGGCCUUCUGGACCAGUACUGACGCUCAUGCACGAAAGCGUGGGGAGCAAACAGG
rnacentral:rRNA from 1 species